rnacentral:rRNA from 1 species
AGAGUUUGAUCCUGGCUCAGAUUGAACGCUGGCGGCAUGCCUUACACAUGCAAGUCGAACGGCAGCACGGGAGCAAUCCUGGUGGCGAGUGGCGAACGGGUGAGUAAUAUAUCGGAACGUGCCCAGUCGUGGGGGAUAACGCAGCGAAAGCUGUGCUAAUACCGCAUACGAUCUCUGGAUGAAAGCGGGGGACUCGCAAGGGCCUCGCGCGAUUGGAGCGGCCGAUAUCAGAUUAGCUAGUUGGUGGGGUAAAAGCCCACCAAGGCGACGAUCUGUAGCUGGUCUGAGAGGACGACCAGCCACACUGGAACUGAGACACGGUCCAGACUCCUACGGGAGGCAGCAGUGGGGAAUUUUGGACAAUGGGCGCAAGCCUGAUCCAGCAAUGCCGCGUGCAGGAUGAAGGCCUUCGGGUUGUAAA